UUACGGCGAUAUCACGUCGAAACAUUGGUUCCCGUACGAUCACCGAAGUUAAGCAACAUUAAAUAUGGUCAGUACCUAGAUAGGUGACCGCUUGAGAAUACCAGGUGCU